rnacentral:rRNA from 1 species
GAUGAACGCUGGCGGCGCGCCUAAUACAUGCAAGUCGAGCGACGAAACCGAAGUGGGUAACCACUUCGGCUGAAAGCGGCGAACGGGUGAGUAACACGUGGGUAACGUGCCCCGAACUCUGGAAUAACAACGGGAAACCGUUGCUAAUGCCGGAUAACCCCUGCGGUUCGCAUGUCUCGCAGGGCAAAGAAUUUCGGUUCGGGAUCGGCCCGCGGCCUAUCAGCUUGUUGGUGGGGUAAUGGCCUACCAAGGCAGUGACGGGUAGCUGGCGUGAGAGCGUGGCCAGCCACACUGGGACUGAGACACGGCCCAGACUCCUACGGGAGGCAGCAGUAGGGAAUCUUGCGCAAUGGGCGAAAGCCUGACGCAGCGACGCCGCGUGAGGGAUGACGGCUUUCGGGUUGUAAACCUCUUUCAGCAGGGACGAAGCCUCACGGUGACGGUACCUGCAGAAGAAG